rnacentral:lncRNA from 1 species
UGAGUUUAAUAAUUCACCAUGUAAAAUUAUUUGAUGAACCUCCGUAACAAAAAAAAAAAUGUUUUUUUAAAUGAAAUAAAUGUUUUUUUCCCAUCAGGAGCCAUUUUCGACCUGGAUUUGAAUCAGAAUCUGAAUCUGGAUCUGAAUCUGGAUCUGGAUCUGAAUCUGGAUCUGAAUCUGGAUCUGAAUCUGGAUUUGAAUCAGAAUCUGAAUCUGGAUCUGAAUCUGAAUCUGGAUCUGAAUCUGAAUCUGAAUCUGGAUCUGGAUCUGGAUCUGAAUCAGGAUCUGGAUCUGAAUCUGAAUCUGGAUCUGAAUCUGGAUCCAGCUGUGUGUCCUUCAGGAGUGACAAGUCAAAGGACUUUAAUCCUGACUUCAAGUCCAUCAGUCCAGGAGUGAAACAGAGCCAUUUUCGACCUGGAUUUGAAUCAGAAUCUGAAUCUGGAUCUGAAUCUGGAUCUGGAUCUGAAUCUGGAUCUGAAUCUGGAUCUGAAUCUGGAUUUGAAUCAGAAUCUGAAUCUGGAUCUGAAUCUGAAUCUGGAUCUGAAUCUGGAUCUGAAUCUGGAUCCAGCUGUGUGUCCUUCAGGAGUGACAAGUCAAAGGACUUUAAUCCUGACUUCAAGUCCAUCAGUCCAGGAGUGAAACAGAGCCAUUUUCGACCUGGAUCUGAAUCUGGAUCUGGAUCUGGAUCUGAAUCAGGAUUUGAAUCUGAACCUGGAUCUGAAUCUGGAUCCAGCUGUGUGUCCUUCAGGAGUGACAAGUCAAAGGACUUUAAUCCUGACUUCAAGUCCAUCAGUCCAGGAGUGAAACAGUAAGUGUUUGUCAGAGUUAAAGGAGGCUGGAUAAUAGUUCAGAUGAUCAAUAGUUUUCAGAUAAAUGAUUGAGAUCUGGUUCAGUUUUUGAUCUCUCU